rnacentral:rRNA from 1 species
CACCAGACUCCUACGGGAGGCAGCAGUGGGGAAUAUUGCACAAUGGGGGAAACCCUGAUGCAGCGACGCCGCGUGAGUGAAGAAGUAUUUCGGUAUGUAAAGCUCUAUCAGCAGGGAAGAUAAUGACGGUACCUGACUAAGAAGCCCCGGCUAACUACGUGCCAGCAGCCGCGGUAAUACGUAGGGGGCAAGCGUUAUCCGGGUUUACUGGGUGUAAAGGGUGCGUAGGUGGCAGGGCAAGUCAGAUGUGAAAGCCCGGGGCUCAACCCCGGUACUGCAUUUGAAACUGUCCAGCUGGAGUGCAGGAGAGGUAAGCGGAAUUCCUAGUGUAGCGGUGAAAUGCGUAGAUAUUAGGAGGAACACCAGUGGCGAAGGCGGCUUACUGGACUGUAACUGACACUGGGGCACGAAAGCGUGGGGAGCAAACAGGAUUAGAUACCCCAGUACG